CCUACGGGUGGCAGCAGUGAGGAAUAUUGGUCAAUGGACGAGAGUCUGAACCAGCCAAGUAGCGUGAAGGAUGACUGCCCUAUGGGUUGUAAACUUCUUUUAUAUGGGAAUAAAAUGUUCCACGUGUGGGAUUUUGUAUGUACCAUAUGAAUAAGGAUCGGCUAACUCCGUGCCAGCAGCCGCGGUAAUACGGAGGAUCCGAGCGUUAUCCGGAUUUAUUGGGUUUAAAGGGAGCGUAGGUGGAUUGUUAAGUCAGUUGUGAAAGUUUGCGGCUCAACCGUAAGAUUGCAGUUGAAACUGGCAGUCUUGAGUACAGUAGAGGUGGGCGGAAUGCGUGGUGUAGCGGUGAAAUGCUUAGAUAUCACGAAGAACUCCGAUUGCGAAGGCAGUUCACUGGACUGCAACUGACACUGAGGCUCGAAAGUGUGGGUAUCAAACAGGAUUAGAUACCCUUGUAGUC
rnacentral:rRNA from 1 species